AAAUGAAUUGACGGGGACCCGCACAAGCAGUGGAGCAUGUCGUUUAAUUCGAAGCAACGCGAAAAACCUUACCAAGACUUGACAUCCUCUGAACAUCCGAGAAAUCGGAAUGGUGUAGCAAUACACAGAGUGACAGAUGGUGCAUGGUCGUCGUCAGCUCGUGUCGUGAGAUGUUCGGUUAAGUCCGUUAACGAGCGCAACCCUCGUUGUCAGUUGCCAAUAUUAAGUUAGGAACUCUGGCAAGACCGCCGUGGAUAACACGGAGGAAGGUGGGGAUGAUGUCUGAUCAUCACGUCUCUUACGUCUUGGGCUACAGACGUGCUACAAUGGCCAUUACAAUGCGACGCAAUACCGUAAGGUGGAGCCAAUCGCAAAAAAUGGUCUCAGUUCGGAUUGAGGGCUGAAACUCGCCCUCAUGAAGCCGGAAUUGCUAGUAAUCCCGAAUCAGAAUGUCGGGGUGAAUACGUUCCCGGGUCUUGUACACACCGCCCGU
rnacentral:rRNA from 1 species